rnacentral:rRNA from 1 species
CAGUCGAGGGGCAGCGGGGGCGAAGCUUGCUUCGCCUGCCGGCGACCGGCGCACGGGUGAGUAACACGUAUGCGACCUGCCCCCCGCAGGGGGAUAACCGGGAGAAAUCCCGACUAAUACCGCGUAACGCCGCUGGGCUGCAUGGCCCGGCGGCCAAAGGAAGCGAUUCCGGCGGGGGAUGGGCAUGCGGCGCAUUAGCUAGUCGGCGGGGUAACGGCCCACCGAGGCGACGAUGCGUAGGGGUUCUGAGAGGAAGGUCCCCCACACUGGUACUGAGACACGGACCAGACUCCUACGGGAGGCAGCAGUGAGGAAUAUUGGUCAAUGGGCGUAAGCCUGAACCAGCCAAGUCGCGUGAGGGAAGACGGUCCUACGGAUUGUAAACCUCUUUUGCCGGGGAGCAACGGGGUCCUUGCGAGGGCCCUAUGAGAGUACCCGGAGAAAAAGCAUCGGCUAACUCCGUGCCAGCAGCCGCGGUAAUACGGAGGAUGCGAGCGUUAUCCGGAUUUAUUGGGUUUAAAGGGUGCGUAGGCGGGCUGUUAAGUCAGCGGUCAAAUGUCGGGGCUCAACCCCGGCCUGCCGUUGAAACUGGCGGCCUCGAGUGGGCGAGAAGUAUGCGGAAUGCGUGGUGUAGCGGUGAAAUGCAUAGAUAUCACGCAGAACUCCGAUUGCGAAGGCAGCAUACCGGCGCCCUACUGACGCUGAGGCACGAAAGCGUGGGUAUCGAACAGGAUUAGAUACCCUGGUAG